rnacentral:rRNA from 1 species
UACGUAGGGCGCGAGCGUUUGUCCGGAAUCAUUGGGCGUAAAGAGCUCGUAGGCGGCCUGUCGCGUCUGCUGUGAAAUCCCGGGGCUUAACCCCGGGCGUGCAGUGGAUACGGGCUGGCUGGAGGCAGGCAGGGGAGAACGGAAUUCCCGGUGUAGCGGUGAAAUGCGCGAGAUAUCGGGAGGAACACCGGUGGCGAAGGCGGUUCUCUGGGCCUGUACUGACGCUGAGGAGCGAAAGCGUGGGGAGCGAACAGG